rnacentral:rRNA from 1 species
AAUAGAACCCAGGUAGUCCACGCCGUAAACGAUGAAUACUAGGUGUAGGGGUUGUCAUGACCUCUGUGCCGCCGCUAACGCAUUAAGUAUUCCGCCUGGGGAGUACGGUCGCAAGAUUAAAACUCAAAGGAAUUGACGGGGGCCCGCACAAGCAGCGGAGCAUGUGGUUUAAUUCGAAGCAACGCGAAGAACCUUACCUAGACUUGACAUCUCCUGAAUUACUCUGUAAUGGAGGAAGCCCUUCGGGGCAGGAAGACAGGUGGUGCAUGGUUGUCGUCAGCUCGUGUCGUGAGAUGUUGGGUUAAGUCCCGCAACGAGCGCAACCCUUAUUGUUAGUUGCUACCAUUUAGUUGAGCACUCUAGCAAGACUGCCCGGGUUAACCGGGAGGAAGGUGGGGAUGACGUCAAAUCACCAUGCCCCUUAUGUCUAGGGCUACACACGUGCUACAAUGGCCGGUACAAUAAGAAGCAAUACCGCGAGGUGGAGCAAAACUCAAAAACCGGUCUCAGUUCGGAUUGUAGGCUGAAACUCGCCUACA